rnacentral:rRNA from 1 species
UACGGAGGGGGCAAGCGUUGUUCGGAAUCAUUGGGCGUAAAGGGCGCGUAGGCGGCUUUGUAAGUCCGUUGUGAAAUCCCUCGGCUCAACCGAGGAACUGCGACGGAUACUGCUUGGCUUGAGUCCCGGAGAGGGUAGCGGAAUUCCCAGUGUAGCGGUGAAAUGCGUAGAUAUUGGGAGGAACAUCGGUGGCGAAGGCGGCUACCUGGACGGGUACUGACGCUGAUGCGCGAAAGCUAGGGGAGCAAACGGG